UUGCAGCCAAUUAGGUGGACUAUGUUUAUUCCCCAUGGGGAUCCAGUGUGCCAUGGCCACACACAGACCCCGCCUCAGUGUGUACACAUGUGCAGAUUGCCCUAAGGGGCCCUGGAGACAGUC
ensembl:snoRNA SNORA70 Small nucleolar RNA SNORA70